rnacentral:tRNA from 1 species
GGAAGCGUGGCUGAGUGGUUGAAGGCGCCGCUCUCGAAAAGCGGUAUACCGGAAACGGUAUCGGAGGUUCGAAUCCUCCCGCUUCCG